rnacentral:miRNA from 1 species
UUUCAUGAGAAUUUGGUGCUCG